UACGGGGGGGGCAAGCGUUGUUCGGAAUUACUGGGCGUAAAGGGCUCGUAGGCGGCCUCCUAAGUCAGACGUGAAAGCCCUCGGCUCAACCGGGGAACGGCGUCUGAGACUGGAAGGCUUGAAUCCGGGAGAGGGAUGCGGAAUUCCAGGUGUAGCGGUGAAAUGCGUAGAUAUCUGGAGGAACACCGGUGGCGAAGGCGGCAUCCUGGACCGGCAUUGACGCUGAGGCGCGAAAGCCAGGGGAGCAAACGGG
rnacentral:rRNA from 1 species